AGAAGUGCUGGAGCAAAUGAUGCGGGCUUGUGUUAGAAUGCUUUAGGAUUGAGUUCUUAGUUUUAAGUGAGGGAAGGAAAUUGGGUAAAAUUUGGUUGUUGUUUUGUUCUGUUUAUGCAAUGCUGGUUCAUGGUAAAUAAAUUGCUAUCUUUUUUCAAACCCGUGUUUCAAUUUUUGACCAUGUUUUUUCCUAGAGGGAUUAUUUUCCAUUAGUGUAGAGUUAUGCAAUAGGUGUGGAAGGAUCACUAAUGUCAUGAGAGUAAUAUUGUGUAUGAAGCUUGAUAUGUCAUUUCUUGAUCUUUUUUGCUGUGAGAAAUGCAAUGGAGUUUGAGAUAGCUUUUGUAGAAUGCCAUUAUGGAUCGCAGUCAGUCAAGUUUGUAUGUUAGGAGGAGCAGUCACCAUUUCAAGUGAUUUGGAAAGACAGACAUACACUAGAACCUGCUAUAGCAGUGGUCACCUCUAUAUCUGAAGAGGCAUUAGCAGUUCACACAUCUACUGCCAUUACGAAGCGCAGGCAGCCAAGUUGAAAUGUUUAUAGGAGCAGUCACCCCUGUUCAGGUGAUUUGGAAAGACAAGACACACACACUAGAACCUGCUAAAAGCAAGGUUCGCCCCCAUCUUCCAAGAGGCCUAAGCACUUCACGCAUCUGACACUUGGCUUGCAGCAUCAUCUGCUUUGACGUUAUUGUUCUGCACAUUGAAAAAGGUCCCACGGCAUACAUCCAGGAGUCCGGGACUCACCAUUCCCCCGUUUUACCAUUUUCCUUCUAGGAUUAUUUUGGGCAUACAUCAGUUUUUGUUUGCUUUUUACAGGUUUAUCAAGAUAGUAUAAAAAAUCAAGUACAACAUGAUAAUUAUGUUUCACCAACACUAAAGAUAUUCAUAGUAAAUCAUUUUUUCCGAUCAAAGAAAACAC